AGAGUUUGAUCCUGGCUCAGAACGAACGCUGGCGGCGUGGAUAAGACAUGCAAGUCGAGCGGGAUUUUUUCCUGUAGCAAUACAGGGAAUAGUCUAGCGGCGAACGGGUGCUUAACACGUGGGCAACCUGCCAAGAAGUGGGGGAUAGCUCGCCGAAAGGCGAAUUAAUACCGCAUGUGAUCAGAGUGGACAUCCAUUCAAAAUCAAAGUCGGGGCAACCUGACGCUUCUGGAGGGGCCCGCGGCCUAUCAGCUAGUUGGUGGGGUAACGGCCCACCAAGGCUUAGACGGGUAGCUGGUCUGAGAGGACGACCAGCCACACUGGGACUGAGACACGGCCCAGACACCUACGGGUGGCAGCAGUCGAGAAUUUUUCUCAAUGGGGGAAACCCUGAAGGAGCGACGCCGCGUGGAGGAUGAAGGUCUUCGGAUUGUAAACUCCUGUCAUUGGGGAACAAUGCGCAAAUAUUAACUGUAUUUGCGUUGAUAGUACCCGAAGAGGAAGAGACGGCUAACUCUGUGCCAGCAGCCGCGGUAAUACAGAGGUCUCAAGCGUUGUUCGGAUUCAUUGGGCGUAAAGGGUGCGUAGGCGGCGCGGUAAGUCGGGUGUGAAAUCUCGGAGCUUAACUCCGAAACUGCAUUCGAUACUGCCGUGCUUGAGGACUGGAGAGGAGACUGGAAUUUACGGUGUAGCGGUGAAAUGCGUAGAUAUCGUAAGGAAGACCAGUGGCGAAGGCGGGUCUCUGGACAGUUCCUGACGCUGAGGCACGAAGGCCAGGGGAGCAAACGGGAUUAGAUACCCCAGUAGUCC
rnacentral:rRNA from 1 species